rnacentral:rRNA from 1 species
UACGUAGGGUGCGAGCGUUGUCCGGAAUUAUUGGGCGUAAAGCGCUUGUAGGUGGCUCGUUGCGUCGGGAGUGAAAACCUGCGGCUUAACCGCAGGCCUGCUUCCGAUACGGGCGAGCUAGAGUUCGGCAGGGGAGACUGGAAUUCCUGGUGUAGCGGUGGAAUGCGCAGAUAUCAGGAGGAACACCGGUGGCGAAGGCGGGUCUCUGGGCCGAUACUGACACUGAGAAGCGAAAGCGUGGGGAGCGAACAGG